rnacentral:snRNA from 1 species
GGAUGUGAGGGCUAUCUGGCUGUGACAUCUGUCACCCCAUUGAUUGCCAGGGUUGAUUCGACUGAUCUGGCUGGCUAGGCGGAUGUCCUCUUCCUCCCUCACUGUUCCAUAUGUGUCCCUCCUGAAGCUGCACGCUCGGUGGAAGAGGACGACAUCCCAUGUAUAGAAGGAAUGUACCGAGGUCUCCACUUCAAUCUCAAGUAUACGAUAGCUGCGCUCCCCUGCUAGAACCUCCAAACAAGCUCAAACAAACAAUAGAAUAGAAUAACUUUAUUGUCAUUGUACAUUAGACAAUGAAA